rnacentral:rRNA from 1 species
UACGUAGGUGACCAGCGUUGUCCGGAUUUACUGGGCGUAAAGAGCGCGCAGGCGGUCGUUCAAGUCGAGUGUGAAAGCCCCCGGCUCAACUGGGGAGGGUCACUCGAUACUGAUCGACUUGAAGGCAGGAGAGGGAAGCGGAAUUCCCGGUGUAGUGGUGAAAUGCGUAGAUAUGCGGAGGAACACCGAUGGCGAAGGCAGCCUCCUGGGAUAACACUGACGCUCAUGCACGAAAGCGUGGGGAGCAAACAGG